rnacentral:rRNA from 1 species
UCCUACGGGGGAAGCAGCAGUGGGGAAUAUUGGACAAUGGGGGGAACCCUGAUCCAGCCAUGCCGCGUGUGUGAAGAAGGCCUUAUGGUUGUAAAGCACUUUAAGCGAGGAGGAGGCUCCCGUAGCUAAUAUCUACGGAGAGUGGACGUUACUCGCAGAAUAAGCACCGGCUAACUCUGUGCCAGCAGCCGCGGUAAUACAGAGGGUGCGAGCGUUAAUCGGAUUUACUGGGCGUAAAGCGUGCGUAGGCGGCUUUUUAAGUCGGAUGUGAAAUCCCCGAGCUUAACUUGGGAAUUGCAUUCGAUACUGGGAAGCUAGAGUAUGGGAGAGGAUGGUAGAAUUCCAGGUGUAGCGGUGAAAUGCGUAGAGAUCUGGAGGAAUACCGAUGGCGAAGGCAGCCAUCUGGCCUAAUACUGACGCUGAGGUACGAAAGCAUGGGGAGCAAACAGGAUUAGAUACCCUGGUAGUCCAUGCUGUAAACGAUGUCUACUAGCCGUUGGGGCCUUUGAGGCUUUAGUGGCGCAGCUAACGCGAUAAGUAGACCGCCUGGGAGUACGCA